AAAAGAGAAGGUCCGUGCUUUGACAUUACUGUUGAAUAGAGACUCUGUAAUUACCGUAGCACGUGAUAUUGGUGCUUCAAGCGGGGCUAUUUAUCAACUGAAACGUUGCAGCCGAACGUAGGCUGCAGAGCGAAACUUUCCUUACAUAGUAGGUAAUUUGCGCUUCUUUUGAAUUCCUUCGAAUUCUGUUAAUAUUUUAGUACUUUUGUACAAUUUUCGGUACAAUUUUUGUUUACAAACAGCUUAUGCUUUGUUUAAAACAAAAAAAAAAGAAGAAUAGGUGAAAUUUUCAGAAUAUUUUAACUUUUUUUGGUGCACAUCAAGACUUGCAAACAAAGUGCAAAAAACAAGUGGAACUUGUUUGAAGAAAGAACUGAUACUACUGUCUUCCCACAGUAGUUCAUUUGCGCUUUUUGUAAAUUCAUUGGCUUUAUUGUAACAUUUUAAACAGAUUUUUGAACUUCUCUCGAAUAAAAUAUUAUAAAGGAAUAUAAAGAAAGAAGUAAAAGGAAUUUGGAAAAUAGAACUUUUUGUAUAAAAAAUUGAUAGCUUUCCUUACAUAGUAGGUAAUUUGCGCUUCUUUUGAAUUCCUUCGAAUUCUGUUAAUAUUUUAGUACUUUUGUACAAUUUUCGGUACAAUUUUUGUUUAUAAACAGCUUAUACUUUGUUUAAAACAAAAAAAAAAAAAUAAGAAUA